AUGGCGAAGGGGAGAGAUGCUGCUCCUCUUCCUCUGUGCAGCCCUCAUCUCCAGAGCCGCGGGCACCAUGGGAAGGCUCCUCUGCCUAGCGCUGCGUGCCGGCCCGCCUGCGCGUCGAGGAAUCGUCGGAUCCACCCGCCUGCGCGUCGGGGAAUUGUCGGAUCCGCCCGGAUCCAGGCACAACGAGGGUCACUGGAGGAGCGGCGAGGCGAGCUCUGGACGGGCCUCCUGUGGCGGGGUUCGGGGGAGAGAGAUGGGUGUCCACGGCGGCCACUGCCGUCGUUGCCUUCCUUUGCCCUCGAGUGGAGCGCCACCGCCUGCGCGCACCGGCCGGCCUGCACCUGA
rnacentral:rRNA from 1 species